rnacentral:rRNA from 1 species
AACGAACGCUGGCGGCAUGCCUAACACAUGCAAGUCGAACGAAGCCUUCGGGCUUAGUGGCGCACGGGUGCGUAACGCGUGGGAGUCUGCCCUUGGGUUCGGAAUAACAGUUAGAAAUGACUGCUAAUACCGGAUGAUGUCUUCGGACCAAAGAUUUAUCGCCCAAGGAUGAGCCCGCGUAGGAUUAGGUAGUUGGUGGGGUAAUGGCCCACCAAGCCGACGAUCCUUAGCUGGUCUGAGAGGAUGAUCAGCCACACUGGGACUGAUACACGGCCCAGACUCCUACGGGAGGCAGCAGUGGGGAAUAUUGGACAAUGGGCGAAAGCCUGAUCCAGCAAUGCCGCGUGAGUGAUGAAGGCCUUAGGGUUGUAAAGCUCUUUUACCAGGGAUGAUAAUGACAGUACCUGGAGAAUAAGCUCCGGCUAACUCCGUGCCAGCAGCCGCCGUAA